AUUGAACGCUGGCGGCAUGCUUUACACAUGCAAGUCGAACGGCAGCACGGGGGUAACCUUGGUGGCGAGUGGCGAACGGGUGAGUAAUAUAUCGGAACAUAUCCGGAAGUGGGGGAUAACGUACCGAAAGGUACGCUAAUACCGCAUAUGCCCUGAGGGGGAAAGGAGGGGAUCGUAAGACCUUUCGCUUUCGGAGUGGCCGAAACCGGAUUAGCUAGUUGGUGAGGUAAAGGCUCACCAAGGCGACGAGCCGUAGCUGGGCUGAGAGGAGGACGAGCCACACGGGAACUGAGACACGGUACAGACUCCUACGGGAGGCAGCAGUGGGGAAUUUUGGACAAUGGGGGAAACCCUGAUCCAGCCAUGCCGCGUGAGUGGAGAAGGCCUUCGGGUUGUAAAGCACUUUAAGUUGGGAGGAAGGGCAGUAAGCUAAUACCUUGCUGUUUUGACGUUACCGACAGAAUAAGCACCGGCUAACUCUGUGCCAGCCGCCGCAGUAAAAC
rnacentral:rRNA from 1 species